GGAGAGCUGCCCGAGUGGCAAGGGGCUGGCUUGCUAAGCCAAGGCCGGCGACGCCGUCGCCGCGGGCGUUCGAUUCGCUCGCUCUCCGCCA
rnacentral:tRNA from 1 species